rnacentral:lncRNA from 12 species
CUUUUUUCCAUCUUCCUUUGUCCCUGGAGGAGGGGGAGGCUGGAGUAGCAGAGGCUAGAAGGGCUCACUCUGACUUUUCAGUGACAUUAUUUCCAUGGCUAAGCCAAGUUUCUUGUGGAAUACCUCUGCUGAAUACAGAAAUCCG